GGAAAACUCAAACGGCAAGUGGGGUGGCUCAGAGUUACCACAAAGCAUCCCAACAAUCUCUUUCAUUGUUGGGCGCUUGUUAGGUGAUCUCUGUAAACAGAGUAGUGCAAUAGUGAUGCAAAGCAAUGCUUGUUCUCUAUCCAGUAACUGAAUGUUGGAAUCAACAAGAUCCAAAAGCUUGCCCGAAUGAGCAAGUUGCCUAGCCCAUGAAACCAGAUUAGCCCUCUCGAAUUCUGACAUAGGAGA
rnacentral:misc_RNA from 1 species